GUGAUGAUUGUGUUGUUGAAAUCAAUGAAACUGGCACAAAACUGAAGUACAAACCUGGAAUUAUUAUGGGAGGAAGACAUUUAGUUCAUGAUUGUGGUGUCAGUCGCUCCAUUAGCUACUUCUUGGAACCGUUGAUUGUGCUCGGUUUGUUUGGAAAGAAACCACUCACCAUCAGGCUUAAAGGGAUCACAAAUGAUUCAAAGGACCCAUCUAUUGAUACUUUUCGAUCAACUACUUUGCCUAUAUUGAAGCAAUUUGGAGUCCCUGCAGAAGGUUUGGAACUGAAAAUUGAGAGUCGGGGAGUCGCUCCUAAAGGUGGUGGAGAAGUAGUUCUUUCAGUCCCUAUGGUCCCGAAUAGUUUAAAGGCUGUUAAAUGGGUUGAUGAAGGUCUGGUGAAGAGAAUUAGAGGUGUUUCCUUUUCAACUAGGGUCUCUGUUCAGUUUGAGAAUACCAUGAUACACGCAGCUCGUGGAAUCUUGAAUCCUUUGCUUUCAGAUGUUCACAUCUUUACAGAUCAUAAAGCUGGAGCACAAGCCGGAAUGUCACCUGGCUACGGAAUUUCUUUAGUUGCAGAGACUACAUCUGGUUGUGUCGUAUCUGUUGAUACUGCAGUUUCUUAUUCAAGAGGAGAAGAUGAUGCUGACCUAGAGGAUGAUAGGAAAGAUCUGAUCCCUGCUGAGGAAGUUGGCGAGCAAAUAGCUUCUGCACUACUUGGGGAAAUUAAACAGGGGGGAGUCGUUGAUUCAACACAUCAGGGACUGCUGUUUCUUCUAUGUGCCUUGUGUCCGAAAGAUGUUUCAGAAGUUCGAGUUGGGAAGCUGUCACCCUACGGAAUAGAAGCAUUAAGGCACAUCAGAGAUUUUUUGGGUGUUAAGUUUGUCAUGAAACCUGAUGCCUCCACAGGAACUGUCAAUCUUAUGUGUCUUGGCUCUGGAUUUCAGAAUUUAUCCAGAAAAGUAUCAUGAUAAAGAAUUGGGUGGUUUCAUAGAUGGAAAAGUGCGACGCCUCUGUAUCAGCAUAUUCUGAAUGGCUCGACAUUCAUCAAUGGGGUGGUUUAGAGUGAAAUCAAG
rnacentral:misc_RNA from 1 species